GGGCCCGCACAAGCGGUGGAGUAUGUGGUUUAAUUCGAUGCAACGCGAAGAACCUUACCAGGGUUUGACAUCCUGCGAAUCUCUUGGAAACGAGAGAGUGCCUUCGGGAGCGCAGUGACAGGUGGUGCAUGGCUGUCGUCAGCUCGUGUCGUGAGAUGUUGGGUUAAGUCCCGCAACGAGCGCAACCCUCGCCGUUAGUUGCCAGCAGGUUUGGCUGGGCACUCUAACGGGACCGCCGGUGUCAAGCCGGAGGAAGGUGGGGAUGACGUCAAGUCCUCAUGGCCCUUACGGGUAGGGCUACACACGUGCUACAAUGGCAGUGACAGUGAGUUAAUCUCCAAAAACUGCCUCAGUUCGGAUUGUCCUCUGCAACUCGAGGGCAUGAAGUUGGAAUCGCUAGUAAUCGCGGAUC
rnacentral:rRNA from 1 species